rnacentral:rRNA from 1 species
AGAGUUUGAUCAUGGCUCAGAACGAACGCUGGCGGCAUGCCUAAUACAUGCAAGUCGAACGGAAUGGAGCAACCCAUUUAGUGGCGGACGGGUGAGUAACGCGUGGGAACCUGCCCAUCGGUACGGAAUAACCUCGGGAAACUGAGGCUAAUACCGUAUGCGCCCCCAGGGCAACUUGGGGGGAAAGAUUUAUCGCCGUUGGAGGGGCCCGCGUCGGAUUAGGUAGUUGGUGAGGUAACGGCUCACCAAGCCUUCGAUCCGUAGCUGGUCUGAGAGGAUGAUCAGCCACACUGGGACUGAGACACGGCCCAGACUCCUACGGGAGGCAGCAGUAGGGAAUAUUGGACAAUGGGGGCAACCCUGAUCCAGCAAUGCCGCGUGAGUGAUGAAGGCCUUAGGGUUGUAAAGCUCUUUUGGCAGGGACGAUGAUGACGGUACCUGCAGUAAUAGCC